UUUUCGUACCACGGCGAGGCCGGAUUCCUGUUUUAUCAUGAAUAUUCAUUAGGCAGGGUCGGGGAAAGUCUCGAUUCUCUUAAAUAUUCAUAUCGAGGUGGGAAUGCACGACGCGCGCUAUACUCGCACAAAGUGAGAAGAUUUAGUUCACGGAGAAUGCAUGUGGAUUGAAACUGAAGAGCUGGAAGGAGGACUUUACAACAUCUCUUAUAUUUGCAAGAUGAAGCAGAAAGUCCCAUGCAGGAUGAUGCCUCUCUACAGUGGAUGAUGAAGGCAUUCUGGUUUGCAAACUCAGGAGAGGAACAAAGAACAGAUGUUGACGGGAUCAUAUCUAGAGAUGCGGGCCUACUACACUUCAUACGAACUUGGGUUAUAUUUUUUUCUGAAAACUAGGCUACAACUUUAGUGAUGGAUGCAGAAGAUAUCUACACGACACUACGUCUUAAAGAUGCCACCCUCAUAUAAUGAAAGAGGACAAUAGAGAUGGGUUUAAACUGGAAUAUUUACAUGAUAUUUAUUUGUUAUUUGUAUUAUAUGUUUGUAGAAUACUACAUUCAAUAAAGCUAAUGAAGUUUA
rnacentral:lncRNA from 1 species